UACGGAGGAUGCAAGCGUUAUCCGGAAUGAUUGGGCGUAAAGCGUCCGCAGGUGGCUGUGUAAGUCUGCUGUCAAAGAGCAAAGCUCAACUUUGUAAAGGCAGUGGAAACUACACGGCUAGAGUGCGUUCGGGGCAGAGGGAAUUCCUGGUGUAGCGGUGAAAUGCGUAGAUAUCUGGAGGAACACCGGUGGCGAAGGCGGCAUCCUGGACCGGCAUUGACGCUGAGGCGCGAAAGCCAGGGGAGCAAACGGG
rnacentral:rRNA from 1 species